rnacentral:rRNA from 1 species
GACGAACGCUGGCGGCGUGCUUAACACAUGCAAGUCGAACGGAAAGGCCCUGCUUUUGUGGGGUGCUCGAGUGGCGAACGGGUGAGUAACACGUGAGUAACCUGCCCUUGACUUUGGGAUAACUUCAGGAAACUGGGGCUAAUACCGGAUAGGAGCUCCUGCUGCAUGGUGGGGGUUGGAAAGUUUCGGCGGUUGGGGAUGGACUCGCGGCGUAUCAGCUCGUUGGUGGGGUAGUGGCUUACCAAGGCUUUGACGGGUAGCCGGCCUGAGAGGGUGACCGGCCACAUUGGGACUGAGAUACGGCCCAGACUCCUACGGGAGGCAGCAGUGGGGAAUAUUGCACAAUGGGCGGAAGCCUGAUGCAGCAACGCCGCGUGCGGGAUGACGGCCUUCGGGUUGUAAACCGCUUUCGCCUGUGACGAAGCGUGAGUGACGGUAAUGGGUAAAGAAGCACCGGCUAACUACGUG